UAACACGUGGGCAACCUGCCCUACAGAUGGGGAUAACUCCGGGAAACCGGGGCUAAUACCGAAUAAUCAGUUUGUCCGCAUGGAUGAACUCUGAAAGACGGUUUCGGCUGUCACUGUAGGAUGGGCCCGCGGCGCAUUAGCUAGUUGGUGGGGUAAUGGCCUACCAAGGCAACGAUGCGUAGCCGACCUGAGAGGGUGAUCGGCCACACUGGGACUGAGACACGGCCCAG
rnacentral:rRNA from 1 species